rnacentral:rRNA from 1 species
CCGCAUAACUUCAUGGAAAUAGGUGGCUUCGGCUACCACUUACAGAUGGACCCGCGGCGCAUUAGCUAGUUGGUGAGGUAAUGGCUCACCAAGGCAACGAUGCGUAGCCGACCUGAGAGGGUGAUCGGCCACACUGGGACUGAGACACGGCCCAGACUCCUACGGGAGGCAGCAGUAGGGAAUCUUCCGCAAUGGACGAAAGUCUGACGGAGCAACGCCGCGUGAGUGAUGAAGGUUUUCAUCGAAAUUUGCUCUGUUGUUAGGGAAGAACAAGUACCGUUCGAAUAGGGCGGUACCUUGACGGUACCUAACCACUUAGCCACGGCUAACUACGUGCCAGCAGCCGCGGUAAUACGUAGGUGGCAAGCGUUGUCCGGAAUUAUUGGGCGUAAAGGGCUCGCAGGCGGUUUCUUAAGUCUGAUGUGAAAGCCCCUGGCUCAACCGGGGAGGGUCAUUGGAAACUGGGGAACUUGAGUGCAGAAGAGGAGAGUGGAAUUCCACGUGUAGCGGUGAAAAGCGUAGAGAUGUGGAGGAACACCAGUGGCGAAGGCGACUCUCUGGUCUGUAACUGACGCUGAGGAGCGAAAGCGUGGGGAGCGAACAGGAUUAGAUACCCUGGUAGUCCACGCCGUAAACGAUGAGUGCUAAGUGUUAGGGGGUUUCCGCCCCUUAGUGCUGCAGCUAACGCAUUAAGCACUCCGCCUGGGGAGUACGGUCGCAAGACUGAAACUCAAAGGAAUUGACGGGGGCCCGCACAAGCGGUGGAGCAUGUGGUUUAAUACUAAGCAACGCGAAGAACCUUACCAGGUCUUGACAUCCUCUGACAAUCCUAGAGAUACG